CAUUUUUCUCAUUUUUAUUGAUGUUUGUUUUUUUUUUUUUUUGGGGGGGGGAGUUGUUGAAUGGUUGGGAGUGAAAUGGAUAUGACUGAGUUUCUUGAUGCAAAUAUCAGAAGGAAAAAGCAA
rnacentral:ribozyme from 14 species